UACGUAGGGUCCGAGCGUUGUCCGGAAUUAUUGGGCGUAAAGGGCUCGUAGGCGGUUUGUCGCGUCGGGAGUGAAAACCCCAGGCUUAACUUGGGGCUUGCUUUCGAUACGGGCAGACUAGAGGCAUGCAGGGGAGAACGGAAUUCCUGGUGUAGCGGUGAAAUGCGCAGAUAUCAGGAGGAACACCGGUGGCGAAGGCGGUUCUCUGGGCAUGUUCUGACGCUGAGGAGCGAAAGUGUGGGGAGCGAACAGG
rnacentral:rRNA from 1 species